UAAUGGGUCAGCGACUUAUAUUCAGUGGCAAGGUUAACCAUCUAGGGGAGCCGUAGGGAAACCGAGUCUUAACUGGGCGUUCAGUCUCUGGAUAUAGACCCGAAACCAGGUGAUCUAGCCAUGGGCAGGUUGAAGGUUGAGUAACAUCAACUGGAGGACCGAACCGACUAAUGUUGAAAAAUUAGCGGAUGACUUGUGGCUAGGGGUGAAAGGCCAAUCAAACCUGGAGAUAGCUGGUUCUCCCCGAAAGCUAUUUAGGUAGCGCCUCGGACGAAUACUACUGGGGGUAGAGCACUGUUAAGGCUAGGGGGUCAUCCCGACUUACCAACCCUUUGCAAACUCCGAAUACCAGUAAGUACUAUCCGGGAGACACACGGCGGGUGCUAACGUCCGUCGUGGAGAGGGAAACAACCCAGACCGCCAGCUAAGGUCCCAAAUUACUACUAAGUGGGAAACGAUGUGGGAAGGCUCAGACAGCCAGGAUGUUGGCUUAGAAGCAGCCAUCAUUUAAAGAAAGCGUAAUAGCUCACUGGUCGAGUCGGCCUGCGCGGAAGAUGUAACGGGGCUAAGUAGUAAACCGAAGCUGCGGCAAUAUACUUUUGUAUAUUGGGUAGGGGAGCGUUCUGUAAGCGGUUGAAGGUGUGUGGUAACGCAUGCUGGACGUAUCAGAAGUGCGAAUGCUGACAUGAGUAACGAUAAAGGGGGUGAAAAACCUCCUCGCCGGAAGACCAAGGGUUCCUGUCCAACGUUAAUCGGGGCAGGGUAAGUCGACCCCUAAGGCGAGGCCGAAAGGCGUAGUCGAUGGGAAACGGGUUAAUAUUCCCGUACUUCUUACAAUUGCGAUGGGGGGACGGAGAAGGCUAGGUGGGCCUGGCGACGGUUGUCCAGGUUCAAGUGCGUAGGCUUAAGAGUUAGGUAAAUCCGGCUCUUUCUAAGGCUGAGACACGACGUCGAGCACCUACGGGUGUGAAGUCAUUGAUGCCAUGCUUCCAGGAAAAGCCUCUAAGCUUCAGAUUGUAAGGAAUCGUACCCCAAACCGACACAGGUGGUCGGGUAGAGAAUACCAAGGCGCUUGAGAGAACUCGGGUGAAGGAACUAGGCAAAAUGGUACCGUAACUUCGGGAGAAGGUACGCUCUUGAUGGUGAAGUCCCUUGCGGAUGGAGCUGACGAGAGUCGCAGAUACCAGGUGGCUGCAACUGUUUAUUAAAAACACAGCACUGUGCAAAAUCGUAAGAUGACGUAUACGGUGUGACGCCUGCCCGGUGCCGGAAGGUUAAUUGAUGGGGUUAGACUUCGGUCGAAGCUCUUGAUCGAAGCCCCGGUAAACGGCGGCCGUAACUAUAACGGUCCUAAGGUAGCGAAAUUCCUUGUCGGGUAAGUUCCGACCUGCACGAAUGGCGUAAUGAUGGCCACGCUGUCUCCACCCGAGACUCAGUGAAAUUGAAAUCGCUGUGAAGAUGCAGUGUACCCGCGGCUAGACGGAAAGACCCCGUGAACCUUUACUACAGCUUGGCACUGAACAUUGACCCUACAUGUGUAGGAUAGGUGGGAGGCUUUGAAGCACGUACGCCAGUAUGUGUGGAGCCGUCCUUGAAAUACCACCCUUGUAGUGUUGAUGUUCUAACGUCGACCCCUUAUCGGGGUUGCGGACAGUGCCUGGUGGGUAGUUUGACUGGGGCGGUCUCCUCCCAAAGAGUAACGGAGGAGCACGAAGGUGGGCUAAUCACGGUUGGACAUCGUGAGGUUAGUGCAAUGGCAUAAGCCCGCUUGACUGCGAGAAUGACAAUUCGAGCAGGUGCGAAAGCAGGUCAUAGUGAUCCGGUGGUUCUGAAUGGAAGGGCCAUCGCUCAACGGAUAAAAGGUACUCCGGGGAUAACAGGCUGAUACCGCCCAAGAGUUCAUAUCGACGGCGGUGUUUGGCACCUCGAUGUCGGCUCAUCACAUCCUGGGGCUGAAGUCGGUCCCAAGGGUAUGGCUGUUCGCCAUUUAAAGUGGUACGCGAGCUGGGUUUAGAACGUCGUGAGACAGUUCGGUCCCUAUCUGCCGUGGGCGUUGGAAGAUUGAAGGGGGCUGCUCCUAGUACGAGAGGACCGGAGUGGACGAACCUCUGGUGUUCGGGUUGUGUCGCCAGACGCAUUGCCCGGUAGCUAAGUUCGGAAUCGAUAACCGCUGAAAGCAUCUAAGCGGGAAGCGAGCCCUGAGAUGAGUCUUCCCUGAUACUUUAAGUAUCCUAAAGGGUUGUCGGAGACUACGACGUUGAUAGGUCAGGUGUGUAAGUGCUGUGAGGCAUUGAGCUAACUGAUACUAAUUGCCCGUGAGGCUUAACCAUACAACAC
rnacentral:rRNA from 1 species